rnacentral:rRNA from 1 species
GUGCCAGCAGCCGCGGUAAUACGUAGGUGGCAAGCGUUGUCCGGAAUUACUGGGUGUAAAGGGAGCGUAGGCGGUUUGGUAAGUUGAGUGUGAAAUCUACCGGCUUAACUGGUAGGCUGCGCUCAAAACUACCAAACUUGAGUGAAGUAGAGGCAGGCGGAAUUCCCGGUGUAGCGGUGGAAUGCGUAGAUAUCGGGAGGAACACCAGUGGCGAAGGCGGCCUGCUGGGCUUUUACUGACGCUGAUGCUCGAAAGCAUGGGGAGCAAACAGGAUUAGAUACCCUGGUAGUCCAUGCCGUAAACGAUGGAUACUAGGUGUGGGUAAGCAAUUAUCCGUGCCGCAGCUAACGCAAUAAGUAUCCCACCUGGGGAGUACGGCCGCAAGGUUGAA